UGGGGAAUCUUGCGCAAUGGGCGAAAGCCUGACGCAGCCACGCCGCGUGAGUGAAGAAGGCCUUCGGGUUGUAAAGCUCUGUCACGGGGGACGAAAACCUGUACGUUAAUAGCGUGCAGACUGACGGUACCCCGGAAGGAAGCACCGGCUAACUCUGUGCCAGCAGCCGCGGUAAUACAGAGGGUGCAAGCGUUGCUCGGAAUUAUUGGGCGUAAAGGGCAGGUAGGCGGUCCAAUUUGUCAGAGGUGAAAUCCCUGGGCUUAACCCAGGAAGUGCCUUUGAAACGGUUGGACUUGAGUAUUGGAGAGGGUCGUGGAAUUCCCGGUGUAGCGGUGAAAUGCGUAGAGAUCGGGAGGAACACCAGAGGCGAAGGCGGCGACCUGGACAAUUACUGACGCUCAACUGCGAAAGCGUGGGGAUCAAACAGG
rnacentral:rRNA from 1 species